AUUCGCGUAGCUCAACGGUAGAGCGUCGGUCUCCAAAACCGAAUGUGAAGGUUCGAUUCCUUCCGCGUUUG
rnacentral:tRNA from 1 species